CACUGGAGAAUGGGUUUGGUGCUUUGAGCUGUGUUUCUACAUAAAAAAGAAGGAAUCAAAGUGAUGCUGGUGUGACAACAUAACAUUUGAAGCUGCUCCAAACAACUUUGACUGUAAGAAAAAGGCCAAAAGAAUAUAAGAGGCUCUAACCAAGGACUCUGACUUCACUAAGCCACUGAAACACUCCUGGCACUACCUACCUCCUGCCUUUUCGUUACGGGAGGAAACCCUAUUGGUU
rnacentral:lncRNA from 1 species